rnacentral:rRNA from 1 species
AGCAGCCGCGGUAAUUCCAGCUCCAAUAGCGUAUAUUAAAGUUGUUGCAGUUAAAAAGCUCGUAGUUGAAUUUCGGGGUUAGUAGAUUGGUCAUGCCUCUGGUAUGUACUGGUUUCACUGAUUCCUCCUUCCUGAUGAACCGUAAUGCCAUUUAUUUGGUGUUGCGAGGAGUUUGGACUGUUACUUUAGAAAAAAUUAGAGUAGUUUAAAGCAAGCUAACGCUUGAAUACAUUAGCAUGGAAUAAUGAAAUAGGACGUUCGAUCCUAUUUUGUUGGUUUCUAGGAUUGACGUAAUGAUUAAUAGGGAUAGUUGGGGGCGAUUAGUAUUCAAUUGUCAGAGGUGAAAUUCUUGGAUUUAUUGAAGACUAACUAUUGCGAAAGCAUUUGCCAAGGAUGUUUUCUAUUAAUCAAGAACGAAAGUUAGGGGAUCGAAGACGAUCAGAUACCGUCGUAGUCUUAACCAUAAACUAAUGCUGACUAGGGAUCGGAUGAUGUUAAUUUUUAAUGACUCAUUCGGCGC